GAUGAACGCUGGCGGCGUGCCUAAUACAUGCAAGUCGAGCGAACAGACGAGGAGCUUGCUCCUCUGACGUUAGCGGCGGACGGGUGAGUAACACGUGGAUAACCUACCUAUAAGACUGGGAUAACUUCGGGAAACCGGAGCUAAUACCGGAUAAUAUAUUGAACCGCAUGGUUCAAUAGUGAAAGACGGUUUUGCUGUCACUUAUAGAUGGAUCCGCGCCGCAUUAGCUAGUUGGUAUGGUAACGGCUUACCAAGGCGACGAUGCGUAGCCGACCUGAGAGGGUGAUCGGCCACACUGGAACUGAGACACGGUCCAGACUCCUACGGGAGGCAGCAGUAGGGAAUCUUCCGCAAUGGGCGAAAGCCUGACGGAGCAACGCCGCGUGAGUGAUGAAGGUCUUCGGAUCGUAAAACUCUGUUAUUAGGGAAGAACAAAUGUGUAAGUAACUAUGCACGUCUUGACGGUACCUAAUCAGAAAGCCUCGGCUAACUACGUGCCAGCAGCCGCCGUAA
rnacentral:rRNA from 1 species